GACGAACGCUGGCGGCGUGCCUAAUACAUGCAAGUUGAGCGCUGAAGGUUGGUACUUGUACCAACUGGAUGAGCAGCGAACGGGUGAGUAACGCGUGGGGAAUCUGCCUUUGAGCGGGGGACAACAUUUGGAAACGAAUGCUAAUACCGCAUAAAAACUUUAAACACAAGUUUUAAGUUUGAAAGAUGCAAUUGCAUCACUCAAAGAUGAUCCCGCGUUGUAUUAGCUAGUUGGUGAGGUAAAGGCUCACCAAGGCGAUGAUACAUAGCCGACCUGAGAGGGUGAUCGGCCACAUUGGGACUGGGACACGGCCCAAACUCCUACGGGAGGCAGCAGUAGGGAAUCUUUGGCAAUGGAAGAAAGUCUGACCGAGCAACGCCGCGUGAGUGAAGAAGGUUUUCGGAUCGUAAAACUCUGUUGGUAGAGAAGAACGUUGGUGAGAGUGGAAAGCUCAUAAAGUGACGGUAACUACCCAGAAAGGGACGGCUAACUACGUG
rnacentral:rRNA from 1 species